UAUAAUGCUUUGCGAUAUUAUUGGUUUUUUAUGCUGGUUUAAUCCAAAGGGAGUAUCACUGCAUUCGCGAAAAGGAUUAUUGCCCGGUAUCAAUAAGGGCGUAAAAAAAAGCGCCCGCAGGCGCUUUUAAAAGAAG
rfam:Klebsiella pneumoniae IS43, WGS project CBWK01000000 data, contig: c53